rnacentral:tRNA from 1 species
GAGGGGAUAGCUCAAGCGGUAGAGUGCAUGCUUGGCAUGCACAAGGUCCUGGGUUCAAGCCCCGGUACCUCCU